ACUGCUCAGUAACACGUAGUCAACAUGCCCAGGGGACGUGGAUAACCUCGGGAAACUGAGGCUAAACCGCGAUAGGCCAAGAUUUCUGGAAUGGAUCAUGGCUUAAAUCUAUAUGGCCCCUGGAUUGGACUGCGGCCGAUCAGGCUGUUGGUGAGGUAAUGGCCCACCAAACCUGUAACCGGUACGGGCUCUGAGAGGAGGAGCCCGGAGAUGGGCACUUAGACAAGGGCCCAGGCCCUAUGGGGCGCAGCAGGCGCGAAACCUCUGCAAUAAGCGAAAGCUUGACAGGGUUACUCUGAGUGAUUUCCGCUAAGGAAGUCUUUUGGCACCUCUAAAAAUGGUGCAGAAUAAGGGGUGGGCAAGUCUGGUGUCAGCCGCCGCGGUAAUACCAGCACCCCGAGUGGUCGGGACGAUUAUUGGGCCUAAAGCAUCCGUAGCCGGUUCUACAAGUCUUCCGUUAAAUCCACCUGCUCAACAGAUGGGCUGCGGAGGAUACUAUAGAGCUAGGAGGCGGGAGAGGCAAGCGGUACUUAGUGGGUAGGGGUAAAAUCCGUUGAUCCAUUGAAGACCACCAGUGGCGAAGGCGGCUUGCCAGAACGCACUCGACGGUGAGGGAUGAAAGCUGGGGGAGCAAACCGGAUUAGAUACCCGGGUAGUCCCAGCUGUAAACGAUGCAGACUCGGUGAUGAAUAGGCUUCGUGCCUAUUCAGUGCCGCAGGGAAGCCGUUAAGUCUGCCGCCUGGGGAGUACGGUCGCAAGACUGAAACUUAAAGGAAUUGGCGGGGGAGCA
rnacentral:rRNA from 1 species